rnacentral:rRNA from 1 species
UAGGGAAUAUUGCGCAAUGGAGGAAACUCUGACGCAGCGACGCCGCGUGGGUGACGAAGGCCUUCGGGUCGUAAAGCCCUGUCGGAUGGGACGAAAAAUAUUGUGGCUAAUAUCCACGAUACUUGACGGUACCAUUAGAGGAAGCACCGGCUAACUACGUGCCAGCAGCCGCGGUAAUACGUAGGGUGCAAGCGUUGUUCGGAAUCAUUGGGCGUAAAGCGCGUGUAGGUGGCUAGUUAAGUCGGGUGUGAAAGCCCUGGGCUCAACCGAGGAAGUGCAUUCGAAACUAGCUGGCUAGAAGAUGGUAGAGGAAGGUGGAAUUCCAAGUGUAGAGGUGAAAUUCGUAGAUAUUUGGAGGAAUACCGGCGGCGAAGGCGGCCUUCUGGGCCAUUCUUGACACUGAGACGCGAAAGCGUGGGGAGCAAACAGG